UUUGAGUAGCAGCCGGUAAAUCUUCAUCUUUCUCCUCACGCUCGCCGUAUAUAGUAAAGUUAUCAUCGUCAGAUGACGCACCAUCGGAGUCGUCGAAUACGUCAAAUCGGGUUGAAAACUCGUCAUCUUCUUCUUCAUCCUCUGAUUCGUACUCUGCUUCAUCUUCUUUGGCUUCAUCGUCUACGUUUUCACUAUAAUCAUAACAGAAACCAUCAAAUCCUCUUGCGUCUUCAUAUGUAUAUUCUACUUCUGAAGCCGAACUGCGUGGCCGUUUCGUCCUUGAAUUCGAUCCGUCCUUCAACUUCGCGAACUCAAC
rnacentral:lncRNA from 1 species